rnacentral:rRNA from 1 species
GUGAGGAAUAUUGGACAAUGGGCGCAAGCCUGAUCCAGCCAUGCCGCGUGAGUGAUGAAGGCCCUAGGGUUGUAAAGCUCUUUCACCGGAGAAGAUAAUGACGGUAUCCGGAGAAGAAGCCCCGGCUAACUUCGUGCCAGCAGCCGCGGUAAUACGAAGGGGGCUAGCGUUGUUCGGAAUUACUGGGCGUAAAGCGCACGUAGGCGGACAUUUAAGUCAGGGGUGAAAUCCCGGAGCUCAACUCCGGAACUGCCUUUGAUACUGGGUGUCUGGAGUAUGGAAGAGGUGAGUGGAAUUCCGAGUGUAGAGGUGAAAUUCGUAGAUAUUCGGAGGAACACCAGUGGCGAAGGCGGCUCACUGGUCCAUUACUGACGCUGAGGUGCGAAAGCGUGGGGAGCAAACAGGAUUAGAAACCCGGGUAGUCC